rnacentral:rRNA from 1 species
GAUGAACGCUGGCGGCGUGCCUAACACAUGCAAGUCGAGCGAAAGGACGAGAAGCUUGCUUCUCUCAUGUUAGCGGCGGACGGGAGUGUCACACGUGGAAACCCUACUUAACAGUCUGGGAUCACCUCGGGACACCGGCGCUAACCCCGGAUGAUCUUUUGCUCCGCAUGGUUCAAAAGUGAAAGACGGUCUUUCUGUAUCUUAUCGCUGGUUCCGCGCUGCAUUAGCUAGUUGGUAAGGUCAAGGCCUUCUACGGCAACGAUGCAUUGCCGACGUGUGAGAGUGGUCGGCGGCAUGAGAGCUGGACCACGGUCCAUAGUCCUGAGAGAGGCAGCAGUAGGGAAUGUGCCGCAGUGGGCGAAAGCCUGACGGAGCAACGGCACGUGUGUGAUGAAGGUGUUCGGAGCGUAAAACUCUGUUAUGGGGGAAGAACAUAUGUGGAAGUAACUGUGCAGAGCGUGACGGUACCUGGUCAGAAAGCCACGGCUAACUACGUG